rnacentral:rRNA from 1 species
UAAAACAGAGAGUUCGAUCCUGGCUCAGGAUGAACGCUGGCGGCGUGCUUAACACAUGCAAGUCGAACGAGAGAUACAGGAGGAAGUUUUCGGACAGAAUCCAGUAGAUCGAGUGGCGGACGGGUGAGUAACGCGUGGGGAACCUGCCUCAUACAGGGGGAUAACAGUUGGAAACGACUGUUAAUACCGCAUAAGACCACAGAGUCGCAUGACUCAGGGGUAAAAACUCCGGUGGUAUGAGAUGGACCCGCGUUCGAUUAGCCAGUUGGCGGGGUAACGGCCCACCAAAGCGACGAUCGAUAGCCGAUUUGAGAGAAUGACCGGCCACAUUGGGACUGAGACACGGCCCAAACUCCUACGGGAGGCAGCAGUGGGGAAUAUUGCACAAUGGGGGGAACCCUGAUGCAGCGACGCCGCGUGAGUGAAGAAGUAUUUCGGUAUGUAAAGCUCUAUCAGCAGGGAAGAAGAUGACGGUACCUGAGUAAGAAGCCCCGGCUAACUACGUGCCAGCAGCCGCGGUAAUACGUAGGGGGCAAGCGUUAUCCGGAUUUACUGGGUGUAAAGGGAGCGCAGACGGCUAUGCAAGUCUGAAGUGAAAGCCCGGGGCUCAACCCCGGGAUUGCUUUGGAAACUGUGUAGCUAGAGUGUCGGAGAGGUAAGCAGAAUUCCCAGUGUAGCGGUGAAAUGCGUAGAUAUUGGGAAGAAUACCGGUGGCGAAGGCGGCUUACUGGACGAUAACUGACGUUCAGGCUCGAAGGCGUGGG